GGCGUUUGUUGGUGUGGGAGGAGGAGAUGUUGGGGGAGUGUCAGUCUUUACUUCUUGACAUUUCUUUGCAGGAUCAGGCUAUUGACAGGUGGCAGUGGAGUCUUGACCCUGACACAGGUUAUACGGUUGGGGGAGUUUAUCAGCAUCUGACGUCUCAGGAUUCAGUUACUUUGGAUGAUGCGGAUAACCUUAUUUGGCAUUCUCAGGUUCCUUUGAAGGUUUCCAUCUUUGCUUGGCGUUUAUUGCGGGACAGGUUGCCUACGAGAGCAAACCUGGUUACUCGUGGCGUUUUGUCUACUACGGGUGCCACUUGUGUUUUCGGAUGUGGAGUGACUGAGACGGCUCAUCAUUUAUUUCUCUCAUGUAGUAUUUCUGGAUCGCUUUGGGAUUUAGUUCGCGCCUGGAUUGGUAUUUCUUUUGUGGAUUCCACCUCUCUGCGUGAUCAUUUUGUCCAGUUUACGGCAUCAUCAGGUGGUUCUCGUGCGAGACGGUCCUUUCUGCAGCUUGUGUGGCUCGCUUGUGUUUGGGUGAUAUGGACAGAGAGAAAUCAUCGGUUGUUCAAAGGCUCAAUAGGCACACCUCAAAUUUUAUUAGACAAGAUCAAGCUUUUCUCUUUCAGGUGGUUGAAGACGACGAACAUCACGUUAGCUUUAAACUACCAUAGCUAGUGGUCUAGUCCAUUGUUGUGUUUGGGCCUUGUAUGAUUUUACUUUGAUUUUACUUUGAUUGUAUCUCUCUGACUCUUAUGUAUUUUUUAUAGUCUACCUCGGUACGCCUUGUGCUGGAGAGGCUGUUAGUGUUAAUAUAUAUCAUUUUGGCUUCUUCAAAAAAAAAAAGACAUGUCUUUUUUUUCUUCUUUUCACUGACUUUUUUUUUUCUUCUUUUC
rnacentral:lncRNA from 1 species